rnacentral:rRNA from 1 species
AAGCAGCUUGCUGCUUCGCUGACGAGUGGCGGACGGGUGAGUAAUGUCUGGGAAACUGCCUGAUGGAGGGGGAUAACUACUGGAAACGGUAGCUAAUACCGCAUAACGUCGCAAGACCAAAGAGGGGGACCUUCGGGCCUCUUGCCAUCGGAUGUGCCCAGAUGGGAUUAGCUAGUAGGUGGGGUAACGGCUCACCUAGGCGACGAUCCCUAGCUGGUCUGAGAGGAUGACCAGCCACACUGGAACUGAGACACGGUCCAGACUCCUACGGGAGGCAGCAGUGGGGAAUAUUGCACAAUGGGCGCAAGCCUGAUGCAGCCAUGCCGCGUGUAUGAAGAAGGCCUUCGGGUUGUAAAGUACUUUCAGCGGGGAGGAAGGCGAUAAGGUUAAU